GAUACAUCUAGCAUUUUCGACCACUAAAUUUUCGUCGGAUAUAAUGACAGAAGCGAAGUGAAGACAGUUCUCUUUUCGGAAUGAUCGUGUGACAAUCGGAAGAUAUUAGUGAUGAAUGCUGAUAAGCGGUGACCGUCUUUUAGUCUCGAACAGAAGAAAUACUGAAACAUUUUACGAAAUGGAAAAAGUAAAUUCCCAAGAACAAACUAAACGAGAAAAAAAAGAGCGAAUUUUGCUUGGAGAGGGGAAGAGAGGGAGGAUACAAGAAGCAAUAGCACACGCCCACUGUCCCCCUAGGAACACUUCUAACCACCUGUGAUAAGGUUACAUAAAGGAGAAAAAACUGAAGAUUAAUAUGGGCAAGGAUGUCUCGAGAGCAUAAGAUGAAUAUUAUUAUUAUUUAACUUCCGAAUACGUUUUAAUAGUUGUUAAGUUGAAUUAAUUGUUUUAAAAAUAAUAUUAAUAUGUGUGCAUUGUUUCAAAUGUAGGCUCGAGAGCCACGUAAAUUGUAGAGAUAUUGGAAUUUGCUUGGAAAAAAAAAAGAUUAUUUUUUCUCUUGUUCAUUGUAUGCGGCCAAUUUUUCGGGCGUUC